UCAUAUGCGCAAAGUUAACGACUAAUGGAACUUCAAUCCAUGGCAAAGCUUCGCAAUAUCUGAGUGUCGCAAAUGGAAGCACCACCAUGACCAUGUCUUAACUGACGCAGUGAUGCCAAAUGAAGAAAAACCAAGUCGUACUUAUAUGGCUUGGUACAGAUCGGUUGGUUUUCAGUUCAUCGCCGAGGAUAUGUAUCUAUACGACCCACACCAACAAACUUACACACCAGACACCUCAACAUCUAAC
rnacentral:lncRNA from 1 species